CCACGCCCCCCAGGGCCACAACCCCACGCUCUGCGACCUCGGGUCUAGCCCCAUCCCCACCUGUGUUCCUACAUCCACGCUCCCCACGCCCUGAAUCCCCAAGUCCACGCAGCCCGGGUCAGCUGUUCACUGCUUCUUUCCUGUCAGUCCUUGGGCUUCGCUGAGGCGUUUUGGAAGCUUGCUGACCCCUCUCGUCUCGCUUUCCUUCAGAUGUGUUUUUCAUCCAUUCACUGUGGAGGGGAUAUUAUGAAUAUUCAGGGAAAAGAUAGCCUGUGACCCCAACUGUCGAACUGUUUCAACGCAGCGAGCAGCAAAGUGAACACGACCUACAUUGAAGCCUCCCAGGGGGAUCUGAAGUUGACAGGAAAUGUUCUCCAGUGUGACUCUGGAGAUUUGGGAAAGAAGUUGGAUCAAGGGUUGUUCAGACUGAGGUUUGGAUUUGGGAAAGAAGUUGGAUCAAGAGUUGUUCAGACUGAGUCCCAGUGGACAGAAGUCCACCUGCCAUGUACAGUCUGAUUGGGAAAGACCAUAGAGGAGGAAGUGGAAGUCACGCUUCUGGAGGAUCAACCAGGACCUGGUGUUCUGUGAGGUGCUGAAAUUUAACUGCCAUAAAAAUCUCCUGAAUCUUAUCUCUACUGACAGUUUUUAGAAGUGGGU
rnacentral:lncRNA from 1 species